UGAAGGAUGAUGCAUAUUAUAAACAGACUCUAAUGACUCUUUGGGCUUAUAAGUUAUAACCCAGGAAAUGAUCUCCAUGACACGAGACAUCCUGUGAGGGUCAUAUAAAUAGACCCUGCAAGCUGACUACUACCUUCAUCAGUUACUAGGCUGUGAUGAGAUUGAGAGAACUCAACAGCAGAUCGAGUAAAAAUAUUGCCUCUUCAUUCAUAGUGAGAGAACUCAACAGCAUUUAGACAUGAUAAAUAACGUUGAAUUUAAUUUCUCGCAUUAUCUUUUCACCUUCUCCCUUACCCCUAAGGGGGAGACAAUACCAUUCUGUUGUCAUUCAGAUGCAUGGGCUGCUUGAUAGUUGGUGUAUUUGAAUGAUGAUCUACUUCAGUUCCUUGAUAAAUCAUAAGAAAUUUCAGUUCA